ACUGCCCAGCUGCCUCCCCAUCAUCUUGCUCAUCUGCCAAAUCUAGCUAAGGAAAUGCUGUGUAUUUUCUUAGGCUCCUUGGAGGAAUUCACUUGAAAAUGACAAAACGAGCAGGACCUUUUUCUUUUUAGUGGUGACAGUAUCUCAAGGGAGACCUACCUAAGGGACAGACUGAGAUGACUGAGCAAUUGGGAUAGAGUGACACCGAAAUGGGGAAUGGAACAAAAUUCUCCUUCUUUCAUGGUCAAGAAGCCAGGAAAACCUCACCCAACUCUGAAAAAGACAAAAAAACUCCACAAAAUGUCCUUCUGUCCUCUGUUUCCUGCUAAGGUCUGGCUGUCCCCAUCCUCAGCAGCCAGACAACCUGAGCAACACUUGCAGAGCACAAAGAUCGUGUGCCAGCACCAGAAAAGCUCUAUUUCCUCAGCAUUCUAUGUGCAACUGUUUGCUCAGUGAGAUAAGAAAAGUGCUAUAGCUGUGAGUAAAUAUUCCAGGCUUUCAGGAAAUCCUGAAGAGUUGUUCAGAACGACACAAUGGGGAAUUUGGGAACAGAGCACACUUCUGCCAGUGCUGACCAGGGUCAGAGGUUAUCAGAGAUGAAGGAAAGGAUGCUCAGCAGUGAUAAGUGGCUUAUCUCACCAGACACCAGGAGGAAACUCCAGCUGAUGUUUCCUCGCAGGAAUGAAGAGACGCUGUUCCUUCAGUGCUUGACAGAUGCCAUCAACCUUGCACACACAUUUCACCCAAACAUGACCUCACUGAAGAGCACAGCCAAUUCUGCUUUAAGCUCUGUUUUAAGCAUGGCCUAGCAGAGGGCUGGGCCACAGCUGAGCGUGGAGGGAAGGGUGUUGUGACGGGCUGGCGGCGCUGAGGCUGCCGCGCGGCUCUGACGGUGAUGGGGCCAGGCAGAUGUCUCCGACAGCUGUGGCUAAUGGCCUGCACACUGGGCAGGGACCAGACCUCCAAACCCUUCCUGCUCCACAGCAAACACUUGGGCUUGUGUGCAUGGAAAAAUAAAAUAUAACUUGUUCCUCAUUUAGCUUUAUUAUUGAAUUCUGCCCUCACUGGUAAAUCAACAAAUUGUUGGUGCUCUGCACUUGGAAGUCGGCCUUUUCUGCGUAAGGUUGAUUCUUUUCCUUUGUUGUGGU